CCGGGGCCCCCCAAGGAGCCCAAGGACAAGAAGGAGAAGCACAAGACCAAGACGGCCCAGCAGAUCGCCAAGGACAUGGAGCGCUGGGCGCGCAGCCUCAACAAGCAGCGCGAGAGCUUCCGCAGCAGCUUCGCGCCCGCGGGCGCCCUGCGCGACGACGAGCGCCGCGAGUCGCCCACGGCCGACGCCGCCUUCGCCAUCCUCGAGAAGAAGGGAGCCCUGACCGAGCGACAGCACC